rnacentral:lncRNA from 10 species
GCUCGAGCGAUCCUCCCACCUCAGCCUCCUGAAUAGCUGGGACUACAGGCAUACACCACCACAUCCAGCUAAUUUUUUCUAUUUUUUGUAGAAACGAGGUUUUUGCCAUAUUGCCCAGGCUCAUCCCAAACUCCUGGGCUCAAGCGAUCUGCUCACCUCAGGAUUAUAGGUGUGAGCUACCGCACCCAGCCCUCUAUUUUUUUUUUUUUUUUUUUUUGGAGCAACAUGGCUGUUUAUUUCACCUGGGUGCAGGUGGGCUGAGUCUGAAAAAAGAGUCAGCAAGGGUGGUGGGAUUAUCAUUAGUUCUUAUAGGUUUUGGGAUAGGCGGUGGAGUUAAGAGCAAUGUUUUGGGGGCAGUGGGUGGAUCUCACAAAGUGCAUUCUCAAGGGACCCAGCCCUCUAUUUUCAAAGAAUAGGUUCUAUCUAAUAUUAUCAUGGUAAAUAUCCAUAUUAGUUUAAGAGAGAAAUGAAAAUAAUUUUUGAAUCCUGUUCUUACAGACAUCAAAGAAAGCAGGACAGAAUGCACAUUGCACUAUUCAAUUUGUUGAUUUGUCCUCUGUCAUCUUGUGGAGAGUGAUAGAGUAUUUUUUAAUUUCUUCAAUUAGGAUAGUCCAAUUGCAAUAAGGUGGCAUAAACAUGCUGUCUCAUGCUUAAAUAGUAAAGACUAGUCAGCAGUCAGUUAUAUAUAUAAUUGUCACCAGUCUACAAUUUUUUUUCCUUAUAGAAACAACAAACAUAAGGCCAUUUAGUACUAGUAAAUCCUAUCAUAAAUCUCAAGGCACAUGCCAUCUUAUAUAUUAAUUAGCUCUCUCUUUGGGCCAUAACAACUAAAAGAAAAGGCAAAAGAUUUUCUAAAUAAAGCUCUUACAUGAGGUAUUAUUUAUGAAAAUGAUCAAGUCCUUAAUUCACAUAUAUUCAGUGAAUGUAAUUAAUGGUAUUAUUUGUUAAUUUAUUGAUUCAAUAAAUACUACUAAGGUCUCAUUUUUGUGUUCCCUAAAAUCCAUAUGUUGAAAUCCUCACCCCCCAAGGUGAUAAUAUUACGAGGUGAGGGCUUUGGGAAGUGAUUAGGUUAGGAGGGUGGAACCCUCAUGAAUGGGAUUAGUGCCCUUAUAAAACACUCCAGGCCAGGCACUGUGGCUCACGCCUGUAAUCCCAGCACUUUGGGAGGCUGAGGUGGGUGGACCAUCUGAGGUCAGGAGUUCCAGACCAGGCUGGUCAAUGUGUCGAAACCCUGUCUCUACUGAACAUAGAAAAAUUAGCCAGGCAUGGUGGCACAGGCCUGUAAUCCCAGCUACUCGAGAGGCUGAGGCAUGAGAAUGGCUUGAGCUGGGAGGCAGAUGUUGCAGUGAGCUGAGAUUGCACCACUGCACUCCAGCCUGGGUGACAGAGCAAGACUCUGUCUCAAAACAAAACGAAACAAAACAAAAAACCAGAGAGAAGCUCCAGAGAGGAGAGAUCCCUCUCCUUUUUUGCCCCAUGCGAUAACAGAGAAAAGACAGCUAUUUAUGAGGAAGUGGGCCCUCACAAACACUGAAUCUGCUGGUGCCUUGAUCAUGCACCUUCUAGCUUCCACAACUGUGAGAAAAUACAUUGCUGAUGUUUAUAUGCCACCUCGCUUAUGGGAGAUUAUGGCAGCCAGAACUGAAUAGGACAAAUACUUGUAGAGCACCUAUUACAUGUGAGCACUACGGGCACAAGAAUAAAGAAAAUAGACCCUAACUUUAAAAAAAAAAAAAAAAAAACGAACAGUCAGCCAGGAGGCUGGCCACUAAAAUGCAAGAGUGCAUGCAGCAGGCACUGUGGGAAGACAGAAGAGUAGAUCCCAGGUGUCUGGGCAGGGCUGUGUGGAGGACAGAAGGUUCUCAGAGCUGUCCUGCAGGAUGCCACGCAGCCUGGGAAGAAGCCAGGAGCCUGGGGGAAUUGUUCUCGCAUCCCAAAUCAGUGGUUCCAGCAACUGUCAACACAAUAAAACUACAGAACUUGAAAGGGGAAAAUGGGAAAAUAAGCACAGAAGGACAGAUGUGCACCAGGGUGAGGAGAUCCCAACCUCUUUAUUAGAGAAAAGACCGGCAACCCUGCGGCUGGGGCUGGUCACAGAAAGGGGGCCUUGUGAGAGGGGCUGCGAUGAGGCAGAUGGAUGCCAAACCUCAAAAGGCUUUGCUGCUGUGCUAGCAAAUUUAGUUUCCUCCCACAGCUGGUCAGGAGCCCAGUGAACUCUAAGCAGGAAACUGCACUGAUCAGAAGAUAAUUUCAUAGUAACUACUCCGACAGCACAGAGAAGCGAUGGAGAAGGAAGGGAAGAAGGGAAAGCCACUGAAUGGCCCACUUGAGACCAGAAAAGCAGAGAACAACACUGUCAGUCUGGAGUAAGUGACAAAAAUAAGAAAGGGAAGUCUAUCCUGAUGCCCAGCCAGGGAAAAAUGGGAAGAAAGAGAAGAGAAGAGAAGAGACAGAGAGGUUAUCGCAGGAGUGGGACUGGUGACUAAAGAGGAAAUGAGACCUAAGCUAGCCUCCUUGCCAUGUGAUACUCUGCACCACCUUGAGACUCUGCAGAGAGUACCCACCAACAAGGAAGCUCUCACCAGAUGCGCCCCCUUGACCUUGGACUUCUCCACCUCCAGAACAGUACAAAAUAAAUUUCAUUUCUCAUAAAUUACUCAGUUUCAGAAAUCCUGUUUAAGCAACAGAAAAUGGACUAAGCUACUGCCCUGCUGAUCAGCCAGCCACCUGUACAUGUGCACACCCAGAUGACAUAUGCAAGAAUGUUCAGACCAUGGUAGAUGUUUCCAAAGAUGGCCCCCAUCAAGUCCUUACCCCUGUGCAUGCAUAUGCCCCUUCUCCCAUUCAGUUACCCCCCUUCCCUUGAGACUGAGUUGGUGCUGUAACUGCUUUUACCAAUAGGAUGCAGACAAAAAUAAUGUUCUGAGAAUUUCGAGAUCAAAACCUAACAGACUGAUAGCUUCCAUGUCCUUCUUCUUGGAACAUUCACUCAUAGAAUGCUCCCUCUCAGAACACAGAUACCAUGAGAGAAGUCCAACCGGGUCAUGUGGAGAGGCCACAUGGAAAAGAACUGAGGCCCAACAGCCCACACCACCUUCCAGUCAUGGGAAUGAACCUUAUUGGAUGUUCCAGCUUUGUCAAACCCCCAGAUGGCUUCAGACCCAACCAAGUUUAUGUGAAACAGAAGAGUCACACAGCUGAACCCACUCAACCCACUAAAUUGUGAGAGAUAAUAACAGGUUGUUGUUUGAAGCCACUACACUUUUUUGUGGUUAUGCCGCAACAGAAAAAUGAAACGCAGACCUCUCAAAAUCACAAGUCCACACUGUGAAUAUAUAAAUUUUAGCAAAGCACCCACUAUAGGCCUGCUUCUUUAAUAUAUAUUUUCUCAGUUAAUGCUCAAAACUAUGCUAAGACAUCAGCUUUCUCAUGGCAGAGAGAUUAUGUAAGAGGCAGAACUGAAACUCAAGGCACACUUCCUGGCCCUAAUUGAUGUGUUUGUCUCACUGCAUCUCAGAAGCUGGGACAAGUGACUCUGCGGGGUCAAUUCUCAGCUCUCUGAACAUGUAUCUGCUUUGGGGAUCAGUAUUACCAUGUGUGUUUUCAGGAUCAUGCUCUUCUAUCAUGUAGCCACCAAUGUGCGGCAAUGGAGAACUUUUUAUACAGUAUCCUAACAAAAAUUAGGAAGUCAUCAUUAGAUUCCCCCAAUCAAAUGUAUAAGACAGUACAGAAACAUAAUAAAAGCACAUCUAAAAGCCUCUUGGUAGAUUCAUGCAUCAGAUAAGAUGAUGGGUUAUACAAACUCUGAAGUCCUUUUUCUUCCAGCAAUCUAUGACCUGCCAAGCGCUGUGCAUAAUUCCUUACGUGCAUGAUCUCAUUUAACUUUCUCAAUAAGCCUAUACUUAUAAAGCAGAAACUGUUUUCUUUAGAGGUCUUUGGGGUCUUACUCUGUUACCCUGCUUGGUAUGCAGUGUGCAAACACAGCUCACUUUAACCUCAAACUCCUACACUCAGGACAUCCUCCCACCUCCACCUCCUGAGUAACUGGAACUACAGGCAAACACCACCGUGAGCAGCUAAUUUAACUUAUUUAUGUAUUUAUUUUUUAUUUGUUUAUUUUUAUCUUUUUUUAUUUUUUUAUUUUUUUGAGACAGAGUCUCGCUCUGUCGCCCAGGCUGGAAUACAGUGGCGCCAUCUCGGCUCACUGCAACCUCCACCUCUUGGGUUCAAGCAAAUCUCCUGCCUCAGCCUCCCAAGUAGCUGGGAUUACAAGUGCCCACCACCAUGCCUGGCUAAUUUUUUUUUUUUUUUUUUUUUUGUAUUUUUAGUAGAGACAGGGUUUCACCAUGUUGACCAGGCUGGUCUCGAACUCCUGACCUCAGGUGAUCUGCCCGCCUCCACCUCCCAAAGUGCUGGGAUUACAGGUGUGAGCCACUUUGCCCGGCAGUAACUGCUUUUAUCUCCACCUUAUAGAUGAGAAAACUAAGGCUUAGAGAAGCAAGAACACAGAAAUAGUAAGUGGCAGAGCCAAGAUUAAACACCACAGGUCUCCCAGAUCCACAGUCUAAAUUUUGUCAUAAAAUAUACAGUUUCCAUUCCUGCACUAGGAACAUAAUUUGUGGACUUGCUUGGAUUAUACAUAUUCCAAGAAAUUGUCCCAACUCCCAAAGAGCCAUCCCAGCUGCACCACAGGUCAUGAGGUGUGCAAGAAUCUAUCUGGUACAGCAUAAAACCAUGGAAGCUGCAGGUAAAGCCAGAACCCAAGCCAACUUCCACUUCCCACCCUGGGGAGAAGUUGGAGACUGAGUGUAUAAACACUAAGCCUACAAAUCUGCACCAACUGUUCUAUGGAAUAAACUUCUGAAUUGCAGCUCUAGUUUAUCUUUCAGAACAAGGCCAAGCAAUAACUCCGUAAAGAAAUGCCUACAAGGAUGACCUCUGGAAACACUUCAUAAUUUAAAAACCAGAAUAGCUGGGCACCACUGAUCCCACAGCCAAGUAGGUCAAGGCUGUGGCCCCUGCCAGUUCUACAAAUUCAUAUCUGCUUUAUCUGAAUUCAUUCAGGGUCAUGAAUAGAAGGGUAGGUUAUCUGAAGUUCUGACGUCUUCCCUUCAUUACCAGACAUACCAGCCAACAACUGGGUUUUAGGGUACUGAGUACAAGGACAUCUGGCUCAACAAAACUGAACAAGUCAGAAUUUGCGGUUGGGAACAGAGGUCAUUAAAGGAUUUACACAGCAAAGAGCAUGUCAGUGUGAUCUCCAAAUUUAAGGUAACAUUUCAGAGAAGGUUUCAUAUCAGAUCAACAUAAAACCAAUUUAAAUCUAUAAUAAACUCCAUUUCUUCAUCUUGUAUCUUAAUGCUAAAAUGUACUCUGCAAAACACAGGAUGCUAAACUAUGCACCCUGGAUAUAUUCACAGAUAGGAAUUACUUCCAGAAAGAGCAUGAACUAGUAAGCAUAUUACAGGAAAAUUAAUUUUUAUAAGUUUUUUUCUUACAAAAAUCAGAGUCUUUACACAGUAUCCUAACAAAAAUUAGGAAGUUUCAUUAGAUUUCCACUAUCAAAUUUACAAGGCAAUAUAGAAACAUAGUAAAAGCACAUUUAAAAGCCACUUGGUAGAUUUAUGCAUUAGAUAAGGUGAUAAAUUAUAUGACCUCUAAAGUUCUAUUUCAUAUAUGUAUAUAUAUUUGCAUAAGAAACUAAAUCACAAAGGACAAGUUUAUCUCUAUAAUAAAUCUUUCAAAAAAUAUUCUGACUUUCCACACUGAAAUAUUUAAGUUUUAGGUAAGAGGUAGAUAAGGUAAGUGGUGAUUCUCAUUUAUUUCAAAGCCAGAGUCUACUAACACCCAUAAUUCAUAAGCACUAAACCCACGGGAAAGAGGGAAGGAAGACAACAUAAAGGAGGGAAGGAGCAAAGAAAUAAAGGAGAGAGAAUAGAAAGGAAGGAAGAAAAGAAAGG